AUUGAACGCUGGCGGCAGGCCUAACACAUGCAAGUCGAACGAGAGGCGGACGGGUGAGUAAUGUAUGGGAAACUGCCUGAUGGCGGGGGAUAACUACUGGAAACGGUAGCUAAUACCGCAUACUAUCAGAUGAGCCCAGGUGGGAUUAGCUUGUUGGUGGGGUAAAGGCGCACCAAGGCGACGAUCCCUAACUGGUCUGAGAGGAUGAUCAGCCACACGUGAACUGAGACACGGUCCAGACUCCUACGUGAGGCAGCAGUGGGGAAUAUUGGACAAUGGGCGAAAGCCUGAUGCAGCCAUGCCGCGUGUAUGAAGAAGGCCUUCGGGUUGUAAAGCACUUUCAGUUGGGAGGCGUUACCGACAGAAUAAGCACCGGCUAACUCCGUGCCAGCAGCCGCGGUAAUUC
rnacentral:rRNA from 1 species